AGUGCGAGUACGAUUCGAUCGUUUCUUUGAGUAGUUGUAGAUAUGGCAUUGACGAAUAUGUUCUAGUCUAGUGAUUUAGUGGUUGUUGUUUCUACGAAAAUGAUUCCAUGCAUUUUCUUGAUCUUGACUAGUUUUGCUGAACAAAUUCGUUGACUGAUCAAUGGUUUCGUUUGUACGCUCUCUGCUGCCUAUUUAGACAGAACAACAUGGUGUGUUUUACUCUUUGGAUAACCUUUGAAAUCAAUCUCGAGUCAGAUUUGUUUGAUGUUAAUAUGUUGUUUGAGAGGACAAAACCUUGGAAACGAUUAUCACUAUUUGUUUUCCAUACUUUGACUUUGUGAUUUUCAUGUUCAGAGAACCGAGUUGUUGAGUCAGUCUUCAACC
rnacentral:lncRNA from 1 species